GCCUCAGUGGUUUAGUGGUAAAAUCCAUCGUUGCCAUCGAUGGGCCCCGCGUUCGAUUCGCGGCUGACGCA
rnacentral:tRNA from 1 species